AGAGGAAUAGCUGGGUCAAAUGUUGGUUCCAUUCCCAGUUUUUCAAGGAAUCUCCACACUGCUUUCCAAAUUGGCUGCACCAAUUUGCAGUCCCACCAGCAAU
rnacentral:pre_miRNA from 1 species